AGUGAACGCUGGCGGUAGGCCUAACACAUGCAAGUCGAACGGCAGCACAGUAAGAGCUUGCUCUUACGGGUGGCGAGUGGCGGACGGGUGAGGAAUACAUCGGAAUCUACUUUUUCGUGGGGGAUAACGUAGGGAAACUUACGCUAAUACCGCAUACGACCUACGGGUGAAAGCAGGGGAUCUUCGGACCUUGCGCGAUUGAAUGAGCCGAUGUCGGAUUAGCUAGUUGGCGGGGUAAAGGCCCACCAAGGCGACGAUCCGUAGCUGGUCUGAGAGGAUGAUCAGUCACACUGGAACUGAGACACGGUCCAGACUCCUACGGGAGGCAGCAGUGGGGAAUAUUGACAAUGGGCGCAAGCCUGAUCCAGCCAUACCGCGUGGGUGAAGAAGGCCUUCGGGUUGUAAAGCCCUUUUGUUGGGAAAGAAAAGCAGCAGGUUAAUACCCCGCUGUUCUGACGGUACCCAAAGAAUAAGCACCGGCUAACUUCGUG
rnacentral:rRNA from 1 species